GAAAAACCUAUUAUUUAUUUUCAUAUUUUGUUUUGUUUGCUACAUGUGAGUUAGGGUUUAGGGUUCGUUUAGAGGGGUUUUCAUUAAUUUGGCAAAUUCCAUUUUGAGUUGUGACGUUUGUAAUUAUAAGUAGAAAUGGCCACUUUUAAAUUUCGAUUGAAAAAUGAUGAGAAAACGGAAGAACUCAAUAUGGAAACAAGUGUACAGGAUUGGAAAAUAUUCAGAACUUCCAUGAAAACAUUCCAGAAAAAUAUUAAUGAUUACUUGACUACGUUAGUGAACAAUGAGAGCAGUGGAGGAGAUAAUGAACUAGUCUGUGAAGACUCUGACAGUUUAGAAGAAGAUGAGAAAAGUCCAAAAAGAGUUUUAGAUUCAUCCAGUGAACCUGUUCAUAAGAGUUACAAAGUUAAAAAGGUUCAACAUUAGCAACAGUAAAUUCCUCUCAUUUGAAACCUUUACAGUGGUUACAAAAUAAAAUUAUAAAACGUAUAUAUUAGCUGAAUCAGAAAUUAAUUCAAUUCAUGAUCAUAAUACAUGAGGAAUACAAAAGAUAGCUUCCCAACCACAUGCCAAAAAUGUAUUUUUCAUGAUAAGUUGAGUAUAUAAAAAAUACCUAACAAUAUAAACAUAUUGAAUAUACAAAAUUCAAGACACAACUACUAUAAUUCCAAAAUAGGUGGCACUAAAUUCUUAGAAAUUAUGACGUUUUUGCCUUGAUUUGUCUCUUGCAGUGGCGAACAGAAAUUCUAACAGAUGAAAAUAAUGAUAAAAUAUAUAGAAUCGUAACCUUGAUAACAAUGUUUUUGUUUUAAUGCUAUUAUAUUUCUGAGAAUUUAGUGCCUAUUAUUAUGGAAUUGUAUUAUGAAAGAAUAUAUUUUGGAAUAGAUUGACAAUUUUUUAGUUUUAAAUUUUUUGUUGUACUAUUCUCUAUAUUGCUUUUUUCCUUCCAAUAUGUAUGUUACAUUGUCCCUACUAUAAACAUGUAAUAUUUCUUGGGAUCAAUACAUUUAUAAUUACUAUUAUUAAA